rnacentral:rRNA from 1 species
GAGUAACGCGUAGGUAAUCUACCCUUUAGUUGGGGAUAACAUCGCGAAAGCGAUGCUAAUACCGAAUAUGGUAUUCCAAGGCAUCUUGGGGUUACCAAAGACGGGGAUCUUUCGGGACCUGUCGCUAGAGGAGGAGCCUGCGUACCAUCAGCUUGUUGGUGAGGUAAAAGCUCACCAAGGCUUACGGUUAGCCGGCCUGAGAGGGUGAUCGGCCACACUGGGACUGAGACACGGCCCAG